UGCAGUCGUACAAGGUAUCCACAGCUUUGCUUCUUUGUGACAGUGGGGAGGUUUAGUAAUGUCUGGGAAACUGCCUGAUGGAGGGGGAUAACUACUGGAAACGGUAGCUAAUACCGCAUAACGUCGCAAGACCAAAGAGGGGGACCUUCGGGCCUCUUGCCAUCGGAUGUGCCCAGAUGGGAUUAGCUAGUAGGUGGGGUAACGGCUCACCUAGGCGACGAUCCCUAGCUGGUCUGAGAGGAUGACCAGCCACACUGGAACUGAGACACUGUCCAGACUCCUACGGGAGGCAGCAGUGGGGAAUAUUGCACAAUGGGCGCAAGUCUGAUGCAGCCAUGCCGCGUGUAUGAAGAAGGCCUUCGGGUUGUAAAGUACUUUCAGCGGGGA
rnacentral:rRNA from 1 species